rnacentral:rRNA from 1 species
CCUACGGGAGGCAGCAGUGGGGAAUAUUGGGCAAUGGUCGCAAGCCUGACCCAGCAACGCCGCGUGAAGGAAGAAGGCUUUCGGGUUGUAAACUUCUUUUAAGGGGGACGAGCAGAAGACGGUACCCCUUGAAUAAGCCACGGCUAACUACGUGCCAGCAGCCGCGGUAAUACGUAGGUGGCAAGCGUUGUCCGGAUUUACUGGGUGUAAAGGGCGUGCAGCCGGAGAGACAAGUCAGAUGUGAAAUCCACGGGCUCAACCCGUGAACUGCAUUUGAAACUGUUUCCCUUGAGUGUCGGAGAGGUAAUCGGAAUGCCUUGUGUAGCGGUGAAAUGCGUAGAUAUAAGGAAGAACACCAGUGGCGAAGGCGGAUUACUGGACGAUAACUGACGGUGAGGCGCGAAAGCGUGGGGAGCAAACAGGAUUAGAUACCCUUGUAGUC